rnacentral:lncRNA from 1 species
CUCCACAGCAUACAGCUGAUAGUGCUGACGCCAAGGUUUUCACUAUGGUUCAGGAAUUCAAGGGCAAUGUCUUCAGUUGUUCUGUGAAACAUGUAUUCUCUUAAGAACAACCACAGUGAAAGGAAAUGUACUUGGGAGGAGGGCUAGCCUGAAGCCUACAAUGGCAACAUUGCUAGCAAACCAGAACACCAUCAUGCCUUAUGGUUAUGAAGCUGUUUUUGAAAGCAGAAGCAAUGAAGUGCAUCAAAGUGUCCGGCCACAGAUGUUUGACCUGGUUUUAUGCUGUUCAACAUUUCUCCAAGCAAUGAUCAUUACUGUUGCUGACAAAUGGCUG